CCUGCACCCAACCCAAGAACUGCCACUGCCUGUAGCGGCUGUUUAAACAGUGGUGCACACAGCAAAGGAACUUCGUCGCCUUUGAGGGGCUGUGCAGUGCCCCCCAGAGUGAAUCAGAAGGUUCCACAGCC
rnacentral:snoRNA from 1 species